rnacentral:rRNA from 1 species
CCCUUAGAUGUUCUGGGCUGCACGCGCGCUACACUGAAGCGUUCAACGAGUAUUUCACCUUGCCCGGGAGGGUUGGGUAAUCUUUUUAAAACGCUUCGUGAUGGGGAUAGAUUAUUGCAAUUAUUAAUCUUCAACGAGGAAUUCCUAGUAAGCGCGAGUCAUCAGCUCGUGCUGAUUACGUCCCUGCCCUUUGUACACACCGCCCGUCGCACCUACCGAUUGAAUGGUCCGGUGAAAUCUCGGGACGGCGGCUUGGUCGCUUGCGUCCGACUGCUGAAACUUGAUUAAACCAUAUCAUUUAGAGGAAGGUGAAGUCGUANCA